UGGCGGAUAGCUCAGUGGAUAGAGCGCCAAAAACAUCCUUGUUCACCCCUUGUCUGAAAAGACCGAAGAAUGAGGGUUAUCGACUCAUAAUCGGGAGGGUCGCGGGUUCAAAUCCCGCUCCGCCAC
rnacentral:tRNA from 1 species